CGGCGGACGGGUGAGUAAUGCCUAGGAAUCUGCCUGGUAGUGGGGGACAACGUUUCGAAAGGAACGCUAAUACCGCAUACGUCCUACGGGAGAAAGCAGGGACCUUCGGGCCUUGCGCUAUCAGAUGAGCCUAGGUCGGAUUAGCUAGUUGGUGAGGUAAUGGCUCACCAAGGCGACGAUCCGUAACUGGUCUGAGAGGAUGAUCAGUCACACUGGAACUGAGAAACGGUCCAGACUCCUACGGGAGGCAGCAGAC
rnacentral:rRNA from 1 species